GCUCAGGAUGAACGCUAGCGGCAGGCCUAACACAUGCAAGUCGAGGGGCAGCGGGGAUAAGCUUGCUUAUCCGCCGGCGACCGGCGCACGGGUGCGCAACGCGUAUAGAAUCUGCCCUGUACUGGGGAAUAGCCCAGAGAAAUUUGGAUUAAUGCCCCAUGGUAUGUAUUAGCGGCAUCGCUUAUACAUUAAAGGCUACGGUACAGGAUGACUAUGCGUCCCAUUAGUUAGUUGGUAAGGUAACGGCUUACCAAGGCAGCGAUGGGUAGGGGCCCUGAGAGGGGGAUCCCCCACACUGGUACUGAGACACGGACCAGACUCUACGGGAGGCAGCAGUGAGGAAUAUUGGACAAUGGGCGGGAGCCUGAUCCAGCCAUGCCGCGUGCAGGAAGACGGUCCUAUGGAUUGUAAACUGCUUUUGUACGGGAAGAACAAGGGGCACGUGUGCCCCUCUGACGGUACCGUAAGAAUAAGGAUCGGCUAACUCCGUGCCAGCAGCCGCGGUAAUACGGAGGAUCCGAGCGUUAUCCGGAAUCAUUGGGUUUAAAGGGUCCGUAGGCGGGCCAUUAAGUCAGGGGUGAAAGUCUGCGGCUCAACCGUAGAAUUGCCCUUGAUACUGGUGGUCUUGAGUUAUGGUGAAGUAACUAGAAUAUGUAGUGUAGCGGUGAAAUGCAUAGAUAUUACAUAGAAUACCGAUUGCGAAGGCAGGUUACUAACCAUAUACUGACGCUGAUGGACGAAAGCGUGGGGAGCGAACAGGAUUAGAUACCCUGGUAGUCCACGCCGUAAACGAUGGAUACUAGCUGUCCGGAUGCAAAUCUGGGCG
rnacentral:rRNA from 1 species